rnacentral:rRNA from 1 species
GAGGAAAGCGGGGGGCGUGCCUAAUACAUGCAGGUCGAGCGAACGGACGAGAAGUUUGCUUCUCUGAUGUUAGCGGCGGAGGGGUGAGUAACACGUGGAUAACCUACCUAUAAGACUGGGAUAAUUUCGGGAAACCGGAGCUAAUACCGGAUGAUAUUUUGAACCGCAUGGUUCAAAAGUGAAAGACGGUCUUGCUGUCACUAAUAGAUGGAUCCGCGCUGCAUUAGUUAGUUGGUAAGGUAACGGCUUACCAAGGCAACGAUGCAUAGCCGACCUGAGAGGGUGAUCGGCCACACGGGAAGUGAGAAUCGUUCCAGACUCCGACGGGAGGCAGCAGUAGGGAAUGGGGGGGGGGUGUGGGAGGGGGGGGGGGGCAGGAGCGCGUCGAUGAUGAAGGUCCUCGGAUCGGAAAGCUCUGUUAUUAGGGAAGAACAUAUGUGUAGUGAGCUGUGCACAUCUUGACGUUACCGAAUCAGAAAGCCACGGCUGACUACGUG